GGUGGAUUUCCUCUUUGCGGAUGUGGAGAAAGUUUGCGAGACGUUUUGAGGAGACGAUUUCGAGGGAGCAUAUUUUGCGGAGGUUACGCCAGUGGUCACCGUAAGGUGUGGUCGCAAUGGUUGUGUAGUUGUAAGCGAUGUAUUUGGAAGUCAGGAAACGAGGGCGGUUCGAUACAACUACGUCGUUAUGACCCGUGAAGCAUUCUCUUGCGAGUGCGGAGGAAGAGAUGACAACCGCACGGCGGGUACCUAGUCGGAGGUAGAAGAUUGGGCCGUGUGUUUUGGCGAGUCCAUGGAAG
rnacentral:lncRNA from 1 species